AAACUUCGAAACACAAAAAAAAAAAAAAAAAAAAAAAAAAGCGAACGAAACACAAAUGUGAUCCACUCUCGAUCAGCGCUACAUGCACUCACAAGAUUCUCUCUC
rnacentral:ribozyme from 1 species